CUUCACCUUACCUGUAAUAAUUGUAGUGCAUCUUUAGGUUUUAAAAAUGCAAUGUGCAUCAUUUUUUAUAAGAGGAAAACAAAAAAGCAAACAUGUCUUCUCCACAGCCACAUAAGAAGGAUACACCAAAGACGAUGAAUCGCUAUGAAAUAUUGAAACAUACAAAUUGGAUGCUAAAUCAAAUUUAAAUAGAGGAUUUGAAUUCCAUUCGAAAACCAAUCACGGAUCCUCCGUUGGAAGAAUUACCUUCUCAAGCUCCACCUGAAGGAGAAAAAGAAGAAGAAGUCUCCGUCGUCGGUGUUCGGCGUCGGGGUUGUUGAGCAGUCCAGGGUGGAAGUGGAGCGUCUAACAUCUGGGUCUGAAGCCUCGGUGAUUUGCGGUACUUCUUAGGAAAUAAACGAACUGAAGCAGAGACAAGGUGCUCUUCCCUCCUGUGUUCAUAGUGUUUAAGACAUUUUCAAAUUAUGAAAGCUGGAUUUGGUUUUCCAUGACCCAUCCUAUUAAAUUGCCUUUGCCAUCUACGAUUGUACAGGAAUUUGAUCUGGAAAUGCUUUGAGGUAUGCAAAGAUGCACACCAAGUGUUUGAUAAAAUA